rnacentral:snRNA from 1 species
ACCUGGCUGGGGGUAUCUCGUG